UAUUUUCAACAUCAAUAUCAAACAUAUUCUAAUUGUUUCCAUUAAGAAACAUCCGCAUGAUUGCUUUCCUAGCGAACCGGCGAUGGAUGUGACACUCUACCGAAAUCCCAGCAAUUAUCAAAUGUCUCCAAAGAAAGAGGGACACUAUCAUCGAAUGCACGGAAUAAAAGAACAUGCUUGCAGUUUGCAACAGUAGAAUGCUACCAGUCUAUUGAGUAUUGAUUUGGUGGGAUGUGAGCUUUUUAGUGAAAGCUAUCAUUAACUGAAGCAUGCCAAAACAGGUGGAGAGCUACCUUGGGCAUCAUCUAGAAGCACUGUGCCCCACCGUAUCAUCAUGAGACCCUAACGAAUCGUGUACCUAGGCUAAGACACUAUGCUGAUCAACACAUCAACUGUGUGAGUCAUAUUAUAGGUGUCAUCCACGCUGUCUCCCACCUUUCUAUAAGGGUUGGUGGAUUUCCCAAGCCAGGAUUCAAGAGGACAACCUACCAGGGAAAUUGCCAGUCAUCUCAAGCACUAGAGAAAAA
rnacentral:misc_RNA from 1 species